ACACUUUGUCAUCUUCUCGGAUCGAGACCGAACUUACUACUUCAGGAGAUGUGGCCAAGUACAUAAGCAACUCAUCACCAAUAUUUGGCUUCGUCAAAAGGGGUGGGGAGCUUAAAUAUAGCUUCAAGUCUUCAAAAGCUUUUUGGUAUUCUUCUAUCCAAGUAAAGUCUUUCUUCUGCCUGAGAGUUUUGAAGAACAAAAGACAUCACUCUACUGACUUGGAAAUGAAUCAGUUAAGAGAUACGAUACAUCCAGCC
rnacentral:lncRNA from 1 species